rnacentral:rRNA from 1 species
ACGAACGCUGGCGGCGUGCUUAACACAUGCAAGUCGAACGGAAAGGCCCUGCUUUUGUGGGGUGCUCGAGUGGCGAACGGGUGAGUAACACGUGAGUAACCUGCCCUUGACUUUGGGAUAACUUCAGGAAACUGGGGCUAAUACCGGAUAGGAGCUCCUGCUGCAUGGUGGGGGUUGGAAAGUUUCGGCGGUUGGGGAUGGACUCGCGGCUUAUCAGCUUGUUGGUGGGGUAGUGGCUUACCAAGGCUUUGACGGGUAGCCGGCCUGAGAGGGUGACCGGCCACAUUGGGACUGAGAUACGGCCCAGACUCCUACGGGAGGCAGCAGUGGGGAAUAUUGCACAAUGGGCGGAAGCCUGAUGCAGCAACGCCGCGUGCGGGAUGACGUCCUUCGGGUUGUAAACCGCUUUCGCCUGUGACGAAGCGUGAGUGACGGUAAUGGGUAAAGAAGCACCGGCUAACUACGUG